rnacentral:rRNA from 1 species
GGUGAACGCUGGCGGCGUGCUUAAGACAUGCAAGUCGAACGGCAGUCUUCGGACUGUAGUGGCGCACGGGUGAGUAACGCGUAACUGAUCUACCCCAAAGUCGCGGAUAACGAUUCGAAAGAAUCGCUAAUACGUGAUGUGCUGUCAGAUUGUGUUCUGCCAGUAAAGAUUGAUUGCUUUGGGAUGGGGUUGCGUUCCAUCAGCUAGUUGGUGGGGUAAAGGCCCACCAAGGCGACGACGGAUAGCCGGCCUGAGAGGGUGGCCGGCCACAGGGGCACUGAGACACGGGUCCCACUCCUACGGGAGGCAGCAGUUAGGAAUCUUCCACAAGGGGCGAAAGCCUGAUGGAGCGACGCCGCGUGAGGGAUGAAGGUCUUCGGAUCGUAAACCUCUGAAUCAGGGACGAAAGACACUUCGGUGGGAUGACGGUACCUGAGUAAUAGCACCGGCUAACUCCGUGCCAGCCGCCGCCGUAAAAC